rnacentral:rRNA from 1 species
AUUGAACGCUGGCGGCAGGCUUAACACAUGCAAGUCGAGCGGGGUGAUGGUGCUUGCACUAUCACUUAGCGGCGGACGGGUGAGUAAUGCUUAGGAAUCUGCCUAUUAGUGGGGGACAACAUCUCGAAAGGGAUGCUAAUACCGCAUACGUCCUACGGGAGAAAGCAGGGGAUCACUUGUGACCUUGCGCUAAUAGAUGAGCCUGAGUCGGAUUAGCUAGUUGGUGGGGUAAAGGCCUACCAAGGCGACGAUCUGUAGCGGGUCGGAGAGGAUGAUCCGCCACACUGGGACUGAGACACGGCCCAGACUCCUACGGGAGGCAGCAGUGGGGAAUAUUGGACAAUGGGGGGAACCCUGAUCCAGCCAUGCCGCGUGUGUGAAGAAGGCCUUAUGGUUGUAAAGCACUUUAAGCGAGGAGGAGGCUUACCUAGUUAAUACCUGGGAUAAGUGGACGUUACUCGCAGAAUAAGCACCGGCUAACUCUGUGCCAGCCGCCGCGGUAA